CAGGAUUAUACCUUGCCUGACCCACGUGAAGAGGACACGGAAAAUAUUCACCUUCCAACCCCAAAGAGACGACGUGAGCCUCCUCCUCCUCACAUGGACUGCAUCCCUCACAUGUUGCAGCUUCCAGAGCAUCUGUAGCUGCCUUGUCUGCUUGACUGGGUGCUGUACUGAUAUGUACCAGCUGCUCCUUGCACC